rnacentral:pre_miRNA from 1 species
AGUGGGAUAGCUGGGUCAAAUGAUGGUUCCAUUCCAUGUUUUCUGAGGAAUGUCCUCCAUACUACUUUCCAGAGUGGUUUCACCAAUUUGCAGUCCCACCAGCAAU